AUGUGGGAGAGACUAAACUAUUUGUUUAGCACCGAAGGAGCAAGUCCCAAAAAAACCAUGGGAUCCAAUCUCUCAGGUAAAAGUACCGCAUUU
rnacentral:ncRNA from 1 species